CACACUGGAACUGAGACACGGUCCAGACUCCUACGGGAGGCAGCAGUGGGGAAUCUUGCACAAUGGACGAAAGUCUGAUGCAGCAACGCCGCGUGGGGGAUGAAGCUUCUCGGAGUGUAAACCCCUUUCGACCUGGACGAAUGCCCGCAAGGGUUUGACGGUACAGGUAUAAGAAGCCCCGGCUAACUACGUGCCAGCAGCCGCGGUAAUACGUAGGGGGCCAGCGUUGCUCGGAAUUACUGGGCGUAAAGGGUCCGUAGGCGGUGUGAUAAGCCGAUAGUGAAAUCUCUGGGCUUAACCCAGAGGCUG
rnacentral:rRNA from 1 species